CCUUCCUAACGGGAGGGGAGUGAGUUGGACACGAGGGCAGAGAAGAGUCCCUUUUCAGAAGUUGUGAGAGCCUUGUGCAUGAAACGAGGGUCUUCCUAGAGGGACACACACACACACCCAUCUGUCCUUCCUGGGCCAGUGUCUGCCACAAGGCUCUCACCAUGGAGCUUGGGCUGAGGAGGCUGAGGACACUGCGACUUUGUCUGUCACAGGACCUUGUUAAGUAGGCCAGUGAGUCACCAGGCUUGCUGCACUCCCCCACACUGGGAUGUUGUCUUUCUCACCCCACCCCCAGCUCCCAGAACACCCAGGCUCCUGCUCAGCCUUCAGGAAUCUUGCUUGGGCUGGUCCCGGCGUCCCAGAAACUCAAGAUGGGCGCUUAGGGCCUCCCAGAGAAGAUGAGGCACACUGACGGAGAAGAAGGGUGACUGAUUGGAUUUUGCCUUAAUCGGCAAACCGGCAGAGGCACGCUUUGACUUAUCCCGGCACCCAAGGUUGAGGUGUGCUUCGAGGACUUCCCAGUCAAGGACUUGAAAAAGUGCGUUUCCAGGCAGGUAAUCGGGCAGAGAGGGCACCCCAGUGGCGUGGUGUGGAAGCACCAGGAAAGGAGGAGGAGGAGGAGAAGGAUGGAGUCCACCAUUUCGAGUGCCGAAAACAGUCAAGAGCAUCAUCGGGCUAACUGCAGCACGUGAGGCAGCUUUCCCGGGAGGAGGGUGGGAAACUGGGCCCCUGAACGUCUUCCAGUCGGGAGGUGGCUGGCAAUUGGAAAAUAGCUCGCACGCACGGCUUAAGACUUGUCAAGUGGCUCGCCCUGUGGCAGAAAGACUUGGGGAUCCAUUAACUGGGGCCCCAAAGGCUUCACUUGGGUCAGAAUGUCGCGGAUGGAACGGCACGGCACUCUUCCAGGGCUGUUGGGGCCACAGGGCUUGAGAACCACUGAGGGGACAGGCUGAGGAGAGCCAUUCAGACCCCCAUUCAAUGUGGAGGAGGGAACAGAAAGGCAGGGGUAGCCGGAAGAGCUAGAUUUGCUGCCGCAGGGCUGAAGGACGAUUUUGCCAGUGGAGACGGAAGAGCUUCCCCCGCUAAUAGAGUUGGUGCCCGGUGAGGAGCAGGGCCCCUGGGAGGCACCACCACUGCAGGGGUGGUAGGAGGUACUGGAGCCGCUGGAGGUGAUCUGAAUUCUCGUACCAGAGCAAGGCCCCUUAGAGCCGAUCGAGCCAGUGCCACAGGGCUGGACCCCGCCAGAGCCCACGGGCUGGAACACUAUGCCCGAUGGGUAGGCAUUGGAGCUGCGGCUGGGAAUGAUGGGAUUGCUAGAGAAGUACUUGCCCUCAGAGAUUGGGGGCCCAGCGGCAAAGGAGGGGGACCCUGGCGAGCCUCUGAUAGGGUUGUCCUUAGUGAAGUAGCCCACGGGGUAAAUUUUACCCCCACUGUAGGUCAUGCCGGGGACCAGAUAACUGUCGGCAGAGCCACCUACCACCUCAUAGCCGCCAUAGGGUUUCUGGACAGAGGUGAUGGGAGGGCAGGGCUUGCCUGAGGGGCCGCCAUUGCUACAGGGCAUGCCUUGAAACCCUCCAGGGCCACCAGAGCCAUGUUGCUCCACCACCACCACUACAGGUCUCUGGCCACCCGAAACGGUGUGGGAACCGGAGAUGUAGGGCCCUGAGUGUGUGAUGACAGGCCCCCCGCUGCAGGGAGAGUCGGGCACGUUGGAGCUACAAGGCCGCUGGUUGGAGCUGCUGCUCUUAGAAGUAUACGAGCCUCCAGACUGGACAGUGCCUGAUGUCAGGCGGGAAGAAUUGUCAUCCGUCGGGAGAGCAGAGCCAUUUCCUGGUCCCUCUCGGCUGCUUCCUGAACUUCCGGACUGAGAACUACUGCUUACCCAUUGAGAACUGCUGCUUACCCAUCUUCCUGACUGAGAGCCGCUGCUUCCUGACUGAUAGCCGCUGUUUCCUGACUGAUAGCCGCUGCUUCCUGUCUGAGAACCACUGCUUCCUGUCUGAGAGCCGCUGCUUCCUGUCUGGGAGCCGCCAGAACCAAAAGAAUAGCUACUCUGGGAAUACCCUGUCCCUGGUUUAAAUAUCAAGGAUCCUGAAGAACUUCCCUGGGAGCUGCUGGAUCCACCCUGGCUGCUGAUGCUGCUUGUGCCUCCGUGGCUGCUGAUGCUGCUGGAUCCACCCUGGCUGCUGAUGCUGCUUGUGCCUCCGUGGCUGCUGAUGCUGUUGGAGCCAGUCUUUCCAAUGAGACAAGGGUCAUUCGGAGAGGUGAUCCUCGUGGGGUCCUUACAGGGGUCCGAGAAGGGCCCAAUGCUCUUAGCCAAGGUUCCUGGGGAUAAAAGCAACGAUCUGUCAGGUCCUUUCUCACCCAUCAGCCCCAUACCUGACAUCUGCCCAGUAUCCCCCUAGAGGAACCCAGGCAAGUUCAGAGGUAGAGGAAGGAAACCCUGGCUAUUGUCUAUGAAGGAAGUGGGGGUGGCAGGAACAGGGAAGUUUGGUUGUCCAAGCAGUGGGGGAUGAGUCGAGGAGCUCAUAGGUUUCCAAGAAAAACAGAUGCUGGAAACUCUGACGUGGUAGGUGUUGAAGGAGUCCCCUUCAGAUAGUUGGGAAGGGGACAGAAAAAGUCAAACAAGUGGGGAGGCUGAAGCUUUGGGACAGGACGGAACAAAGAGGCUGGAUUGGAGAGAUGGGUUAGGAGCACUGACUGCUCUUGCAGAGGUCCUGAGUUCAAAAUCCCAGCUCACGACCAUCUGUCAUGGGAUCCAAUGCCCUCUUCUGGUGUGUCUGAAGACAGCUACAGUGUACUUAUGUAUAAUAAAUAAAUAAAUCUUUUCUUUUAAAGGAGGAAGAGGAGGAGGAGGAGAAGAGGUGGCAGUGGGGGCAGCCAAGCAGGGUUUAGAUGCCUUGGCUUAGCAUGCACAAGUCCAUAGAUCUGAUGGGGAAGGGGGUGCUGAGUCAGGAAGGAAACAUAUGAGCCCAGGAAAAGAGAAAGGGAGAGCAGCUUACGGAAGAGGAGCACACUUAACAGUUGAUACCCAACCACCAACUCCCUAGCGAGAGUCCAGUCUGGAUAAGGGGUGACAUCCCUGCUUCUUGUCUCAGCCGUGGCCAUACCAGUAAAUCAGGGUGGGGGCCGGGAUGUGGGGGCACUCACCUGUUGCUUCAGAACCUGCCAGUACCAGUAUGACAGGACACUGCUGCACCCUGAGCCACCCAUGUUCUCACUGUCCCAGCCCAGGGACAGAAGUAUCAGCCCUCCUCCAAGCCACAUGACCAUUAUCAGUCUCUCUCCCGGCCCGGCCUUCAUAUGCACCCGCUGCCCCCGUUCCCCUCCACAGUGACUCUUGCUACCUUCAGUCAUCCACUGACUCCGCUCCCAGCCCUAUGCUCCUUUUCCUCAGUCCGUCUGCACAGCUCUCACCUAAGUGCCUUCUGCCCACCCCAGCCCCUUCAGAGCUACACAUCAGCAAGUGACUACUAGCCUUUUCAGGUUUAUGUAUCCAGAAAGGCAAAGUCUGCCGUGGCUCCCUUCAUUGUCACCAUGAAGACCAUGUGACAUCUCUCUGGACCGUAUGUCCGAAAACAGCAAACUAGACAUCGAAGUGUGUAAUUAAUACUCAUGCAGACAGCUACCACCAGCCACCUCCCAAAACCUCAUCUUAGAAAGAAAAGCUCUGAAUGCCAGACGGUGGUAGCACAAACCCUUAAUCCCAGCACUCAGGACGCAGAGGCAGGAUCUCUGAGUUCAAAGCCAGCCUGGUCUACAGAGUGAGUUUCAGGACAACCAGAGCUACACACACACACACACACACACACACACACACACACACACACACACACUAAUAAUAAUAAUAAUAACAACAAAAGAAAGAGAAUAAAAAUAUCCCUACAAUAAACCCUCCCCUUGCCUUUGUCUCUUUACCCUUAACACAGACCUCACCAGCCGCCCAUGGGCUCAGAAUCCUGGAUACCCUGCUUCUUUAAGUGCAAUCUCAAGUCCGUUUUCUGACCUCUCAGGCCUUCUGGAUCCUCAGACGCAGAGUGGGAAUAUGGAGUCUAUCAUGUCUAUCUCAGAAUGGCAGUGUAUUUAAAGUGCCAGCUACAAUGUAGCAUUUAAAAGGCUCUGAGCUGAGGGUGGUACAAGCCUGCAAUCCUCCUAGCUCUCAGGAGGCUGAGUCUGAGGCGAGGCUGGGCCUCAAAGCACGACCUUGUGUCUAAAAAGAAGAAAAAGAAAAGAAAGAAGAAAGAAAAGCAAAAAGGGACCAGAGGACCUAGAUCACUUAGCAAGCAUGAGGGCUGGGGUUUAGCUCCCAGAACCUCAGUAAAAAUAAAUCCAUAAGAAAAAUAAACAAGUUAAUACAUCUAAAA